GGAAGGUUGGCUGAGCGGUCGAAAGCGGCGGUCUUGAAAACCGUUGAUGUGAGAGCAUCCUGGGGUUCGAAUCCCUAACCUUCCGCCA
rnacentral:tRNA from 1 species